rfam:Paenibacillus naphthalenovorans strain 32O-Y, complete genome.
AGCACCUUUAAUUUCAGUCCCGUGAGGCUGGCAAGGUGAACGAUGAAUAUGAACGGUCUAUCCGGAGCGCGCUGCGGCAGAUAAAUUCGGGUGAAGUAUACCCGCAUCCGGAGGCUGAGUUCUGUUCUUGUGCAUAUACCUUGCCUUAUCGGCAAGGUUUUUUUCGU